CGCGAAGAACCUUACCUGGUCUUGACAUCCACAGAAGAAUCCAGAGAUGGAUUUGUGCCUUCGGGAACUGUGAGACAGGUGCUGCAUGGCUGUCGUCAGCUCGUGUUGUGAAAUGUUGGGUUAAGUCCCGCAACGAGCGCAACCCUUAUCCUUUGUUGCCAGCGGUUAGGCCGGGAACUCAAAGGAGACUGCCAGUGAUAAACUGGAGGAAGGUGGGGAUGACGUCAAGUCAUCAUGGCCCUUACGACCAGGGCUACACACGUGCUACAAUGGCGCAUACAAAGAGAAGCGACCUCGCGAGAGCAAGCGGACCUCAUAAAGUGCGUCGUAGUCCGGAUUGGAGUCUGCAACUCGACUCCAUGAAGUCGGAAUCGCUAGUAAUCGUGGAUCAGAAUGCCACGGUGAAUACGUUCCCGGGCCUUGUACACACCGCCCGUCACACCAUGGGAGUGGGUUGCAAAAGAAGUAGGUAGCUUAACCUUCGGGAGGGCGCUUACCACUUUGUGAUUCAUGACUGGGGUGAAGUCGUAACAAGGUAACCGUAGGGGAACCUGCGGUUGGA
rnacentral:rRNA from 1 species